GUCAGGAUGGCUGAGUGGUCUAAGGUGCCAGACUCAAAUUCUGGUCUUUGUGUGGAGGUGUGGGUUCAAAUCCUACUUCUGACA